ACAGUAAACAACUAUUCAACGAGCCAUGCAGUAAACGUAACGUCGACCAAACUAUAAGUACCAAGACAGCAAACGGUACGCAAACAAUCGGUAUGCGUGCAUCAUUCUCUGAAAAAGGCACGUCAAGACAAAAGCAGUGUCGCUCGGUCAACGGUAUCGCGAAUGAUUAGAGGCAAAGGGAACGUUAGCCACCUGGCAAUACCAGUAGCUAAAGUCCGGUUCCAGAGAAUCAUCGAGGUACUGGGAAACUACUGCUCCUGGCUCCAGCUAGCCGAAUUCCAAGAAGGAAGCGUUCGUUUAUAGUCCUACCGGAUCUACACGGCAAUCUACGCGAUGAUCUUCAAUUACAAGGAUGCAGAGCGAGGCAGGGGACCCAACGGGCCCAUAAAGAGAGCUGCGGACCGGACGGUCAACGGAGGAUAUCGCGAUUACAGGAAAGACGAAUGUCGAGAGAAUGGCGAGAUGAAAUUCUCAUGUUUGAAACGCUGAGCGAACGGAUGAUUUAGUUGUUGGGAUGGCAAGAGGGACGUCGUUGGAGAAACGGGAACGCGAGUGGCUGGAGGAACAGCGGACCUCUUCGGGAACGGACGUUUCAGGAAUAAAAGAAGACAUUCGUCAUACAUCACGUAAUUGAAAUGAAAGCCACGUCUGCAUAUGAUGCUCGAAGAAGACAAGAGGCGAUCAAGGAUCCUCGGGGAACAAUGUUGGAAUAAGAAUUCUGGGAUUAGUGUAAUCGUGGCCAAGAUAUAGUAGGUUGUACAUUAACCCUUUGCGGAGGAAGACUCAUUAAAGUAUAAAGCAUAUGAAAUUAAAUCAUACAAUAGAUGCUUAAACAAUAGAAAGGAAACUAUACAUUCUCUUGGUGUUUGAGUAAUUGAAUCAUUAGUCUAAUUUAGUAUUCCAAAUAUGAGAAUUUCAUCUCUCCAAAAUGUCUAGAGUCGUCCGCAAAGGGUUAAGCUUGGAAGGUAGAACCUAAACUCUGAAAUUCCAGUCAGUCUCGAGUAAUUAACGUUCCUGUUGAUUCACUUAUCCUGUCACUUGAAACAUUUACUUCACACGACUUCUUACUAUGCAACUUCACUAUAUCUUUGCAACGGUAACACGGUUGCUGCGAAAAAUCCUCAGGUACUCUUCACUGCUCAGAGAUAUCGGAGCAAGAGAGGCUUCUGUUUAUAGUUUCAAUUCGUAAUCGCAUAGAGAAUCAGAUAAGAAUUUAAACUGUCCAAUUGCUCUCAAAACUGUCCUGAGCAGCGCAGAAUACACAUUUGCGAUCAGAAAAUAAGCGUCAGACGAAAGUACCUGAUUGUCCAUGAGAGGACGCCGCGUUCCGUGUUGGUCGUCCGCUGGGUCCGGAGGCGGAAUCGUGCGCGAGUCGAGGAGCCUUAGAAAACGACUUCCGUGGGAAGUCUCCGUGAGUUCCUUCAGGGACACAAUAGAGUAGGGACGAGCGAACGGGCGCGCGCGCUUGUGUGCGCUUGCUUGCGCGAUAACGCUAAACGAGGGAACGCGAGCGACGAGUAGUUAGUUAGUCGGUUCUGUGCCGGUCGCGAUUCAGCUCCGCGAGCACGAAGAUCGCCGUCGCGUCGGCGAAUCCCAGCCGAGCGACGCGUGGUCACGCAACGCGGCGUUUCAUUGAGACACGGCCGGCCCGCGGACGCGACGAGAAACGGCGUGAGCGUGCACGCCGCGCGUGCAACGAUCGCAGAAGCGGAUCACCGGAGUUCCAGACGCGCGCGUUAGAUCGCGAAAGUCGCCGAGCUGGCACUAGCGAGUCCUCGACUAUAUGCCGCUUUAUGUAGCCCCGCGAGCCGGGGCCUGUGUAUCACGUGGCGCGCGCCGAAUACGUCCGAUCCGCGCACGGAAUUAACGCUACAACUGCCGAGCCAGCCGAGCCGACUGUGAUCUUUCUCGCGCGGAUCGUAACAGCGCGUUUAUGGGAAUUUUAAUUAACCCCGCCUCGCGUUACCGGGUACGUUUGUCGAGUAAUUUCUCCGACGAUCGCUCGCAUCUUUGACAAACCCGGAACGGUAGCGAUUGGUAGUGUUAACCCUUUGCACUCCAAAGGUGCAUCAAAGUUGUAUAAUUGUAUUUAACAUUGAGUCUCGAGUAAUCUGUCGAUACGUGAAAUGUGGAAAUAGAUUCCUCGUUAAGUUACUUUAAGAGAAUGUCAUCUGUAUCUCAUAGAAGUAAAUUGAAUAAUUCUAGUGACAAAUUUCUGGAGUGCGAAGGGUUAAUUCGCGGAACGACGAUCGAGCCGCUUGAUCCAAGGAUCGCGAUCCCCGAAUUUUCAUAUUUGAUGUCGCCGAGCGACCGGCGCUUAGGCGAAACAAAUGAGACGGGUGAAAGUGAUGCGAUGAAAGCGGAUGGACUGCGAUUGAAUAAUUGAGUAACGACGGUGUUUUGGAAUUCCACGAGGUGCGGAAAUAGGUUGAGCUGCUAGGAUACUUGAGCUUCCAUUGAUUCUGUAUUUUGAAUUGUUUCGAAUUCUUGUUACUCCGAGAUUUGAAUUCUUGUUACUCCGAGACUCGUUUGAGCUCUGUGUACCCUCGUGCUCGUGCAACAGAGUCCCCGUUACUCGAUCCUCGCUUCGAAUAUUCCAAGGGAGACGCUACAGCACGAUGCUCCAUUUUGAGUUCAAGUAUUCGAGUACUUCAGCGCUCCGUUCCGCACUCGACUCCGUCGACAAUACUCGUUAAAGCGUUGUACCUUCGCGUCCGCUUUUCAAGAAAUUCUGCGAGCACUCUUGAAGCGCUUGAGGGGCGGACGGCACUCGCGACAUGAAUUCAAUUACCAUCGCAAUUCCGCGGGGACUCCUUUAUCCGUCCGCCCCUCCCCCGCCCCCGCCGAUUGAUCGAACGCGGACGGUUAUUACAAUGUUAACGAACGCUUCCUAAAGAGAAAUGAAAAACGAAGAAGUGGGACUGGCUCGUGUCCCCCCAUCGGGGUCGUCAAUCAAUACCAAUUUCCUUAAAUCAAACCGGAACGGUUCUAAAGUGGAACGCUUUAAACGCGGCUUGAUUCGAAAACAAAAGCCAACGGCAUGCAUACACACGACACGCACACGCACACACGCGCACAUGCGUAACGAUCACAUGCAACCGGUGCGCGUCGCAACGCCAAUCGAUCGGAUCGAUAAUAAAUUCGCGCAGCGACAAUGCUCUUUCUACGCUAAAAAAAGAGAGACAAGAAUUGUUUAAAAUAUCGUCGAAGCGUAUCGAUCACAAACAACAAGCAGAUUGACGCGUUCGCCGCCGACCUCGCGUAUCCGUAGGAAAAUUCAAUUAACACUAGAAUUCCUGACUUCUUUCAGAAUUACUGCGAAGACGCUUCUUUAAGAAUUAAUAAUAAUUAACAACUAAAGAAGCUAAUUUACCAGUACCUAAACUCAAAUAUAAAUUCAUAACUUUCAUACAGAAAUGUUCAAAACAAUUCAAGUGCUCGGUAGUUCUAGUGUUAAUCCAGUAUUCAAUUCUCCAUAUACUUUUCAAACGACUUCACAAAUGCGAUGCACAUCAAUUGUUAGAAUACUCCAAACUACAAAGAUUAACACGUUAAGCGCCACGAAAAUCUUAAGCGUUUUCCCAUAGUUUGUCUUUUGUAGCAAAGUAAAGUAGGAAUACUUAUGAAUUGUUUGGCGUCGCAACGUUCGCGUUACACUAUCAUCAACUCAGUUGCCUUAUUAAACUUUUUUAUUUCACGUCGGUUGUCUUGUACGUUACGAUUGUCUUUUAGUCAUUCGGAAGCGUCGGUCACCAGUGACUGACAUGGCGCUUAACGUGUUAACGCAUCGAGCGGCAGCGAACGCGUCUCGUCGGAAGCGACAGGGAACAAAGCCCGUUCGGCGGAAGGGUUGAAAACGUACAGCGGAUCGUUCGGGGAGAAGCGUAGGAGGGAACGGGGCGGCACAGAAGGGAAUCGUCCUUACUUUUCCGCUGGGCUUGUAGCACGCUCUGACGUCUACCAUAUUGUUCAACAAGGUGUGACUGUCAUCCGCGUUGUCCAGGCCCAAUUUCUCCGCGAGUUCCUCCCUCGUGCGUAUCAUUUCCCAGUUUGCGAUAUUAUAUCCCAUAGAAGACUCUUUUGAUUAUCCACGGAACAGUCUGCACACGUUCGGCCUCGCGUCUUGCCUCUCGCCUCUGCGUCUCGCCUGCGUCCGCCUCGUCGUCGCACGCCGUACUCUCUAAGCCGAUCAGUCGUUCGCGCAGCGAACAGUCUCUCCGCUUCUGUACCUACGCGCCGGAGAAGAACAACAACCGCUCACGACUCAGUAUCAUGGGGGAAAAAAUGCGCCACGUGCGAACGCCACCGUCCACUCGAUUUCGUAAUUCACUCACUGUGAACCCGGCGGCACAUGGAUGCGGCGCGGCACGGCGCGGCGCGGCGCGGAGCGGAGCGGCGUGGCGUAUCGAUUCCCCGCGCGCGACGUGCGCGCAACACGUAAACACACGAAGGAAGCUCGCCGCCCCGAGAGGAGACCGGAGAAAUGUCGGAUCCGAGCGAGCUACGCCGCGCCGCGUUCGCCAGCGACUCCAGAGCGCACCGACUCGCUCCGCGGAGUAACGACUUUAUUAUUUCACUCGCGGGCAGAAAGCGCGACCUUUUCGUUCGCCAGCUGCGCGUCGCGCAUCGUUCAUCCUCCUCCACGGUUCCCCGUGUAGAGGGAUGAGCGCGACAUAUACAGGGUAGGCGAGAAGUGCGAGCAACGCCGCGCCGCCUCUCCCCUCCAAA